rnacentral:snoRNA from 1 species
UUCAGUGAUGAUUUGUGCUAUAUUUCUGACACCUCUUGUAUGAGAAUGGCCAACAUGGUGCCAUCUUUGAACAAAGAAUGCAAUCAAUCUGAGAA